rnacentral:sRNA from 1 species
ACUGGGCAUGGUGGCACAUGCCUGUAAACCUAGCAGCUCCGGAGGCUGAGGCAGGAGGAUCUUGAGUUCAAAGCCAGCCUUACAAAAAGUGAGGCGCUAAGCAACUCAGUGAGAUCCUGUCUCUA